UGGUCAAGGUCCUAGCUACUNGAAAACAGU
rnacentral:piRNA from 1 species